AUUGAACGCUGGCGGCAGGCCUAACACAUGCAAGUCGAGCGGAUGAAGGGAGCUUGCUCCUGGAUUCAGCGGCGGACGGGUGAGUAAUGCCUAGGAAUCUGCCUGGUAGUGGGGGAUAACGUCCGGAAACGGGCGCUAAUACCGCAUACGUCCUGAGGGAGAAAGUGGGGGAUCUUCGGACCUCACGCUAUCAGAUGAGCCUAGGUCGGAUUAGCUAGUUGGUGGGGUAAAGGCCUACCAAGGCGACGAUCCGUAACUGGUCUGAGAGGAUGAUCAGUCACACUGGAACUGAGACACGGUCCCGACUCCUACGCGACGCCGCAGUGGGCAAUAUUGUACCCUGGGCGAAAGCCUGAUCUAGCCAUGCCGCGUGUGUCAAGAAGAUCUUCGGAUUGUAAAGCACUUUUAGUGGGGAGCAAGGGCUGUAAGUUAAUACCUAGCUGUCUUGACGUUACCAAGAUAAUAAGCACCGGCUAACUACGUG
rnacentral:rRNA from 1 species